UACGUAGGGUGCGAGCGUUAAUCGGAAUAACUGGGCGUAAAGGGUGAGUAGGCGGAUAUAUAAGUUAGAUGUGAAAGACCAGGGCUUAACCGUGGAAGAGCAUUUAAGACUGUAUGUCUAGAGUUAACCAGAGGGAGGCAGAAUUCCAAGUGUAGCAGUGAAAUGCGUAGAUAUUUGGAGGAAUACCGAAGGCGAAGGCAGCCUCCUGGGGGAAGACAGACGCUGAGUCACGAAAGCGUGGGUAGCGAACAGG
rnacentral:rRNA from 1 species